CAAUACUUGAGCUGUCAAGGGUAUUCCAAAUACUGUUCUGAAAAAGUCGUGUUUUCUGGGUUCUAAAACGGAACUGCAGGAAUUGGAGAGAGAGAAACAGAGGUGAGGAAAUCCCAGUUACAGAAAACCGGACACGUCUAUAUCCCCUCUACACCUCAGCCUCUAAACUCGUCACAAUUGUCCAUGUUUUGAUAGUUCUUACUUUUCACUGUCAUAUAAUUGCCAAUUUUGUAAUGGGCUUCGAGAUUUUGUAAAGAAAGCAGUUACUGUAGAGGCAAAAUGCAAGUUCUGGCUGUACAAACUCCUCAAAUUUUAAUUGCAACAAGAAAAACGGACAAGAAAUUGCUUCCGCGCUUUUUCGCGUUGAAUAAUUCAUUUCCCUCGAGUUCUUUUGUUCCAAAAAGUAUUGUAUCAUCUUCAUCUUCAUGUUCAUGUAAGUGUUCCAUUAGUCCACUCCAUGAUCUUUUUGUUUUCCCAAAGUUUAACUGGAAAUUUGAUAAAGAUUGAAUAUUUGUUGUGUUUUACUGAUCUUUUAUCGUGUGUCUUGAACUUUCCUGUUAAUUUUCAACUUGGGAUGAAUUCUUGAGUAUAUCUGAAGUGGAUCAUUCCUUUAAAUUGAACGUAUUGUGAUCUGGGCAACAGUAGGAUAACUUCCUUUAAUUGUUGUAUGAUGAACUGGGAAAAGAUUACAUUGACAUUAUGCAUUGUAUAAGUACAAAAAGGCAUUCUUUUGAAUUAUUUGUGGGUCCGGUAUGCAAAGUGAUUUGGGUUCGGUUUUGUAUAGUUGGGAUUGCUGAUUGAAAGAAUUUAACUGGCAUAAACGCCUGGAGUCCUAUUUAUUAUUAUAAGUUAUCUUGUAUAGCAGACUAUUUUCCUUCUAGAUACCAUAGUUAAAUUCAUUUUUACUAAAAGAAAAUGGAAACUCGAGGAAUCUAUCUCUCUCUCUCAUUAUGUGAAAUGGUUUUUAGAUUGAUCGCUGAUCUUACUGUUUUGAUUCUAUUGUUCUUUUGACUUCCAUGUACUUUCUCUUGGAUUAUUCAGAAUGGAGCUUCCAUGCUCUGCAUAACUUAUCUUUGUUUCCGUUUCUUGCCAACCCAAAAUUGAUGGAGAAAAGGCUUAGUUUGUCAUUGUAUUGUAGUAUUGAGAGAUAAUUUCCUUAUUCAGUACAAUGUAGAGAGUCACCAUGGAUGCAUGUGGGGCACAGAGCUGUCAAAACAAAUGCACUGAAUGUUGGUACAGGGUCAGGUGACUAUGAAGGGAGACAGGACAAUGACAACCAAAAUUUUUCUGUCAGCGGAACACCCAAUGAUAUUUCAUCUCGAAGGCAAGUUUCCUUUUUUUUUUUUUUUUAAAAAAUAUAAUUUGAAAUUAUCGAUUGAUUUUCGAAAAUGAAUUAUUGUUUGACAAUGUAUGAUUUAGACUGAGAUAGUAUACUUGUUUCAGGUAAAUUAUAUUCAUCUGUGCUUUUAUCAUUUCAAUCAUUCAUUUGCUAAAAUUGGGCUACUAUGGAUUGACAAGAAAAAAUUUACCAAUGAUGUUGCCUUUUUUCUUGACAUUAACUUAUACGUGUGCAAAUCAUUUCUUGGGAACUUUAUUGUAGGCAUUUGAUUAAAUUUCCUUUGUUCAGAGAAGAUAUAGUUAUCACGCUAAUAUUCACCAAGAAAAUAUUAGAUCACUACGAUUCCAUUGCUUAUGGAGCAUAUUUGGCUAAGCUCAAAAGUUACUUUUCCUGCAAUACUUUCACGAUAAUUAAGUUCCUAUUAGUAAGAAAAAGUAACUUCCAAAAUUUUGUUCGGCAAAAAAGAAGCUUUAAAGUAACUUUCACUUCUUUUUAAGCUUUGCGAAACAUGUUUCCAUCCUAUAUUGCUUCUAGUUUCUUGGCAUGUUAAUAGACACCUAGUUUUCGGGUAAUAAGCACAAAACGUUCCUACCUUUCAUUUUUUGGGCAAUUUUCACCCUCAUCUUUACCUUUUAUUAAGGUAAACAUCCUUCCAUCCACUCACUGUUAAAAUGCUCCGUUAAAACAAAUAAAAUGGAAUUUUUAUUUUCAAAAAGUAAGGGUAACAUUNAAAGAGAAUGGCUAAUGGAUAGAGAAG
rnacentral:lncRNA from 1 species